GUGGAUCGACCAGAGGAAGGGGAAAAGGGGAGUAAACCCUAAUUCACUCAAGAAUCAUCAAAUUGAAGAUCGAUUCAAGCCCGAAAUCAGCAAAUAAACAUAUAUUUGUGAUCACCUAAGCUAGGGGAUCAAAAGUUGGCGCUUGAACAAGCUAAGAAGAGCUAGGUGUGAAAGCGGGUCAAACGAGCCAAGCAUAAAGGAAAAGCGUAUUCGGGAUGCGAGGUGAUUGCCAAGUGUGCCUGGAUGAAGAUCAAGCUCGAAGAGGAACCGAACACUAUCAAUAUACAAACUUCCGCACGUUGUUACAUCGUCGUUUUUAAUUGACGAAUUUAUUUAUAUUACACUGUACAAAUAACCUUUGUAAAAUUUUUAAUAAACCCACAUUUCUGUACGAAUGUGUAAGAAUGAAUAUACAUUUAAUCGUU
rnacentral:lncRNA from 1 species